CUCAUUCACACUGGAGUUUAUUCCUGGGAGGAUCUGGGGGUGUUUUAUGAAUGAUUUUAUUUUAUUAAUGCUUUUUGUUUUAUUUUUACUUAUUUAUUUUUUUAUCAUUGCAAAAGGAACUACUUCUUCGGCUCUGAAAAUAUACUAAGCUGUUGCGGUGACAUCAUCUCACGUCAAGAAAUCAUUUUGUUUCCUUUCAUCGAAUCACUGGUAGUCACUGGAACUAAAAAGCCAGGCUUUGGGGACCAACAGGCAACCGUCAAAGAUUUUAGAAGUGUAUUCUCAAUAGACUGUACUGUGGGUCACAUCGUGCUUGUAAGGACUCCAACAGAACAUAAACCUGUGAUGGAAGGGUCAACUGAAAUUACUAAAAUCAGUGAUGACACUCCUGCUGAAAGUUCAACGGAGGAGGAACAAUGUGACAGAGAGAGAAUGGUAGUACCCAACCAUAAUCAGCAGGAUUACUACAAUGCAUGCCAAUGUCUGUUCAAUGUAAUAUUGAAUAUAAUGUCUACAUGUACUAUUUCAAAGGUGUUAAUGUUAAGUUUCUGUUUUUCAUUUCAUUUCUUCUCAAAUGUUAGCUAUGGGCAACUUGUUCCAAGAUGCCUUGUUGCCUUAUACAGCUAAUACUUGCAUCCUAUUUUAUUAAUCUGGUGGUAGACUCUUACAGAAGGACAGCUUGCUGACAAGCUCGUAGUGGAAGAAAUCUCACCUGCAAUUACUUAAUAAUUUUUAAUAAUUUUUCUAAUGUUGACCAAUAUAAGACGUUUGGAUAGAGUAAGUUUAAUGGGUGUAAAGUUUUGUCAAGUGUAGUUGCUGAAUAACACUGAUUUAACCAUUUUAUGUUGGUUUUAAAGUAA